AAACUCAGUUCAGUUAUCUAUGAGACGUCAAGGCGGUCGUGCGUAGGAGCGGUAAUAUUAAGUGUGAAAAACAUUAUUUUUCGUAAAACAAAAAAACAUAAUUAUAAAUUUGUGUAAAAAGAAAGCAAAAUAAAAGCUUAAAAACAAAAUUUCAAAGUAACGUUUAAAGCGUUAGUGUGUUUAAAGAAAAAAGAAAUAAUAAAUUAAAAUAAAGUUUUUGUGUUUAAUAGAAAAAGUUUGGUAAAAAUUUUGUGAAGAAAAUCAUAAUAAUAAAAUACAAAAAACGUGUUUAAAAUUCUUAAUUACGCCAAAACGGCAAAAGAGGGUGUCUGUCUAAAAGUUUUGGGUUUUUCUGUUUUUUAUAUCUGCCUGAGAGUUUGUCAAUAGUGCGUGUGUUUUUUUGUCAGUUUAAGUGUGCAAAAAUUUUUUAUUAAAAACAAAUUAUAAAAAAAUCACUCAUUGUUGGUUAAACAAAAUAAAAACGUGUAUUUAAAUAAACAAGAAAUAUACUAUAAUUUAUAAAAUUGAAUAUAAUUAUAAUAAAAAAAACCGCAAAAAGCCAAAAAAUAAAUUCCCCCAAAUUCCCAAAAAUUUUCAGCAUUUUAUAAUAAGAAAUAAAAAAUCCUGCUGUUUAGAACCUGCUAAUCAAUACGUGUUCAACAAUUUUGCGGUUUAACUUGCAUGUAUUUGCCAUUUUUCAUUCGAAAAGGGUAAUUUAUUAAAAACAAAGAAGGUUCUUUUAUAUAUACCUGUAUCUGUUCAGAAAAGGUCAGGGUUCUGUGGCCAUAAUUAAAUGGAUUUUUUUUCUAACAAUUAGUUGUUAGUUGCAGCAGCGGAUAAGUUUAACAUAAACAUCAGUUAAUUAAAUAAGGAUUAAUUUUAGAGUUUUUAUUAUACAUUAAACUGAUUUCAUCUAUUUAAUAGAUACAUUUUAGUUGAUCAUCCUCAGCAACAAUGGAGUUUUAAUUUUACCACAACAACAUCAACACAUUGUAUUUGUUAAAAAAAAAAAUAUAUUUUAUUUAAU